AAGCAUUGUAACAAAGUCCACCCAUUUGGGACUUUAUUAAACCAUUUACUAACAAUACUGUAAAAUAUUCAAAAUUUCUCAACUAUUCUACUAAAAUCAGCUUAGAAAUAUAAUUCAACUAAAUAUACUAUUGAUUUAACACAUUCAACUCGUCUUCUAUAAAACAAGAAUACAUGAAUGUCAUGAGAUGCGUGAAUGCAUCAAGUAAAUUGAUCAGUCCACUUAUUUGAGUUGCAUUCCAUCAACCUGCAUUUCCUCUCAUUUUGCAAAAAAUUAUUGUUAACGGUGAGAAUUAAUCUCUCAACCUCUUUCUCAACCAAGAGUGUCUCUACCAAUUAAGUUAUUGACUUGUUUUUAUUCUUAAAUAAAAAUGUAAAUUUUUAACUACUAAUUUUUGUUUUAAGGGUAUAAAAAUUUAGGGUCAUUACAGUUUUAAAAGAAGAAUGGCUGACUGUCCAUAUUCAUUCCACGUGUGGUGCUAUCCUGAUUAGUGGAUCAACAAGAUUGUUGCAUUAGUUGGCCCUACCUGACGCUGAGUUCGGAUCUCUCACCCAUCCGUCAUGAUGGCAUGCACCACAGAAUUUACAUCUCAGAGGGCAUUUGGGCUUGCUGGCGAUGCCUAUCGUAGCGAACCACAUAAGGAAAACUACAGCAACAAGGACAAACAGAAGCAAGAAAGACCACAGAAAAACAAACAUCGGGGGCAUCGAACGUGUAUUGAAAUUGUUAAACGGGGAGUGUUCAAACUAUUUUCCACGUAACGUUAGCAAAACUCCAUCUUACAGCCUCAUUGUGUAUAUGCAAUAGCCAAACAUGAAGAAAAUAUUAGUUUUACUUUUGGUCAGCUGCAAAUGCGGUGAGGACUACUUGAUGACUGACUGAUUUCACAUGCAGUGGACAAUCUUAAGAAUUAUUCGGAUCACACAUGGCAUGUGUGACUGGGUAAUUUGAUGAACGGUUCUGAUCUCACACUAGCAAGCAUCAGUGCAACCGCACAUUGCAGACAAGGGUUAAACGGGUCAAUCUCAACAAGAGGAGCCGUGCGCGGACCAUAUCCAAAACAUUAAUGUGUUGGGUAUGAACGGGGGUCCAAGUCCCAAUAGGUAGUUUGCUUUGGGUUCCUGUCUUAGGCAUCUGUUGCAUAUUUUUCUUUUAAUCUGAUAGGGACUUCAAAUCGGAUAUGUGGUUAAUCGAUACGGAUGGGCCAUUGGGUCCAGCCACCCUCCCCUCACCAGGCGGACUAUGAUUGUGUAGUGUUGAACACAGUGCCGGUACUAGGUUGACGUGGCUAAGUUUUAUGGGACCCACUAUGAUGUAUGUGUUAUGUCCA